UGACUUCAGCAGCAGAGGAGGGUCCUGGUGGGGCUGCAGGGGGAGGUUUCCAUCAAGACUUCGCUGAAACACAGGCUGGGCUCAGACCUUGCCCAUGGCCCCAGAGAUGUUUCCUCAUCACCUGGGGUAAGGCCCCUGACAUGGUGGCCAGAGCCAGGGAGAAUCCAGAGAAGAUUUCUCUGACACCCAGCACAAAGGUGCCCAGGAGGACCCCAUUGGCAGCCCUCUCUGUGGUUCCUCCCAGACCCCUGCCUGCUGCCACUGAAAGAGGCUGAACCCCGCUCCAACUGGCGGCUGCAUAGUCGGAAGCUCAGCAUGUUGACAGGAGCAAUGGAGCUCUGGCACGGCCUAGUGAUGGCAGCGGUGUCCCUCCUCCUGCAGGCCUGCCUCCUCAUUGUGACUGGUUUCCUGCUCAGCCG